rnacentral:lncRNA from 1 species
UGGUGACCCUGAGCUUGAUAUGUCAUCUAUUUCCUCUUCACUACAAGCAGAAGAGCCAUCAGUUCCAGCAACCUUUUGUCCAACUUCUAGCCUUUGGUUAUCAUGAGCCAAGACAAGCGGCUUCACAUCAGAAGGUAACUUGGCCAGUAGAAAGCUUUGAGUUUCUUUGUUGGCGUGUUUUGGGAUAUAGUCGUUCAGACUCCCCUUAAUCCUCCAUCUUGAUCCACAAGCAUUGCACAGCACUGGCUUUUCAGGUGGUCCAGGUCUCCAAAGUGGAGUAUCUGUUUAAGUUCACAGUUCAUCAGCGCUGAAACUAUGAAACAACUAUAAAGGAAUUCUCUACAGCUGAUAAAGUUGUCCCAGAAACUGCUCAAGCAUAGAAUAAUUGAAAACAACUAUGAACAUAGAGCAAUAAAUCAGAAGUAUUAUGAAACUAAAGCUACAGCGAUUUUUUGGCAAAACCAGUGGAAAGCGCAUCCAUGUAAGAUAUGCCUCGACUUUUAAGAAUAUGUAAAAGAAAGUUUGUCCUUUGCAUUUUCUUCACCAGUUAAAGGACCCAUACAAAUUGAGGUAAACGGUGGUCGACAAAUGAUUAAAUGAAUAUGAAUCAUGAAGUAAAAUGAGUAAAGACAAUAGGUCUUGUUCAAAUCAGGAAACAUCAGAGAUUUGCACUGUAAAAAAGCUCAUGGAUUGACGCUUCACGGCCGUCAUAGACUGUCCACUUUGUCCUAAUUAACUGUGAAGAUAUAUUUUUCAGACUGCUGGCUUUGUCCUAAUUAACUGUGAAGAUAGGAUGCCUUACACUCAUCAUAAACAGACUCGCAGAUUGAGGCUUCAUAGCCUUCUUGUCCAUCAAAUACUGUAUCCAAACAAGCAUGAUGACAUACCCUUCUUCUACAUAAGUGUUAGAGAUAUUCGUAGAAUCUUGGACUAACUUUGGAGGGAGAGCAAGAAAAGAUCGCUAUGCAAUUUGGAUAUCACAAAUUAUCGAGAAAGACUAUACUUGUUUGAAGUAUUUUAUUGGCUUUAUGUAUUCCUCUUCCUUACAUAAUGGUGGCAAUCUCUAUUUCUAUUACGAAUCUGUUGCUUUAUAUGUGUUACUAGUUAUGCGUUUGCUUCAGGAGGCCAGUAUUUUGACUGCACUCGAUAUCGAGAACACAGGCGUUAUAGUGGG